UUGCAGUCAUCAGUUUUUUCAGCAUAUUGUCUUCAACGACCGGUUUGCGAUGUUUAACCUGUAGAGAUGACAGAAGGUUGACGGAUUGCUUCUGGAGAGGACCAUCUACUUGUUCUGAUGGUGUAGAGAGAUGUUACCUCGAAGUGAAUGUAUUGCGGACGUUGGUCACAGUAAUUAAUGCUGGAUGUCGUUCUGUAGAGGU